UACGUAGGGGGCAAGCGUUGUCCGGAAUCAUUGGGCGUAAAGAGCGUGUAGGCGGCUUGGUAAGUCCGUUCUGAAAGCCCGGGGCUCAACCCCGGGAGGCGGAUGGAUACUGCUGAGCUCGAGUCCGGAAGAGGCGAGUGGAAUUCCUGGUGUAGCGGUGAAAUGCGCAGAUAUCAGGAGGAACACCGGUGGCGAAGGCGGAUCUCUGGGCCAGUACUGACACUGAGGAGCGAAAGCGUGGGUAGCAAACAGG
rnacentral:rRNA from 1 species